rnacentral:rRNA from 1 species
GACAGAGGGUGCAAACGUUGUUCGGAAUUACUGGGCGUAAAGCGAGUGUAGGCGGUUUGGUAAGUCGGAUGUGAAAGCCCCGGGCUCAACCCGGGAAGUGCACUCGAUACUGCCAAGCUAGAGUAUCGGAGAGGUUGGUGGAAUUCUCGGUGUAGAGGUGAAAUUCGUAGAUAUCGAGAGGAACACCGGUGGCGAAGGCGGGUCUCUGGGCCGAUACUGA